UUGUCACGGUCCCCGUGCCUCACCGGCUGAUUCCGCGUUAGGCAACAUGUCUUUGUUUUUGUUCUCUCUCUCUCUCCCUCUCCCUCUUUCCCCUGCCGCGGCGGUGCUCACUGCGGGCUCCGCCCCUGGCCCACGCACCUGUGCUCUUCAUCACACCUGUCGCUGUUUACUGCAAUCAGAAGGGCCUUUUAAGAUGGCAGACCUACACUACUCGUCGCUGGAACGUUGAGCCACCCGUAUUCCCCCCGGACCCGUCCCUGUACCCCCGAGUGAGCGAGAGGAGCGACUGGAGGAAAAGGAGUGGGAUUGUUGGCUGAGAGAGCGGAGUGUGGUUUUGGACCCUUUCCCUUCCCCUCGCACCCUGGAGCCCCGGACCCCUUUCCCAAGCACCUUGUAUAUAUAUUCACCCGGUGACACCACUGUAAAUAAACGCACUAUCAGUUUCUGCAAGAGUCUCCUGGUCUGCGCCUGAGUCCGUUUACGAAACCCUGUCAGUAUUUGAGCAACCUUACGCUUAAUGCAGAUUACUGUUAACAACUGGUUAAAUUAAUGGUCAGGAGCACAGGCUGUUGUUGAUCAGGGCAAUCUAAAGAAUCAUCUAAAUAUUUUGUGUCAGCAAGGGGUGAGGGAAAGCCAUUCACCAGAGCAUAGCUUAAAUGCUGCUGAUGCGGGCUGGCCUUCUCCACACGCUCUUCGAGGCUGCUGUUUUCCUGAAACCGUCAAACAUUUGAAUCUCUUCCAUUUAGAAGCCUGCGAUUAACCGCACGGCUCAGGCCCGCGUGAAACCCGCGCGACCGUGCUCGCGUGAACCCGCGCAGCUAAGGAGCCAUCGCUCUCUUUUUUAUAAAUACUUUGCGCUGCCAGCAGUGAAGUCCAGUCUGUCAAACUCUGACGCACUCUUGGUUGCUUCGGAACCCAUGAUAACAACAACAACCGUGUCACAGACCGCGCCUGCUCCGCAGUCAUUCACACAAACACAACAACACUUUUACACACAUAGACAUUUGCGCGCUAAUUUGUCACGAAGUAAUUACGGCUA